CGUUGCCAUUUUUUUUAUACUAUGAUGCAAAAUCCAUGGACGCUCGUGCGUCUGCUGAUUUGAUUUUCUUAACUGUAUUUUAACAAGAUUGGACAGAGGCAGCCAGAAAGGGACCGCCAGAAAGAUAAUACAAGACUCUUUUAUUUAUUCAAACUGAGAGGUCAAAAGUUUAGUAUAAAUGUAUUAUUAAUUGUCGAUUAACUGGAAGAAACCGGCGACCAAAAAAUAGAAAUGAACAAGAUCCAAACCAACUGCUUGAACUGGAACAUUGAUGGAUUUAUGUACCCACUUUUUUGUACUUGGAAAGCGCAACGAAAGCAACUCAAAAUCAUGCUGUCAGGCUGUGUGUUGUACAUAGGAAGUGGACCCCUGGAGGAGAUGAAAGGUCUAUUUAAUACACUUUCAAUGAAAGUACAAGUCCUUCAAGAAGUAGGAGAAGCUAACAUGGCUAAGCAACAGAACAGAAUUCAUUUUAGGCAUUGCUUUCUAGAUUAAAUAGAUGGUGGAGUCAUAUAUCUUCAUAUUGAUUUUAUGUGCAUAUCAAUAUGAGGAGCACCAGUCAAUGAAUAAUUGUGUGAUGAGAGAGUUUGUCUUUAGUGCCAUUUGAAGACAGUAGAGUGCCUCCCUGGAUUCAGUUACCAUUCACAGUGAACACUAUGAAGAAUAACCAAUAUAGGACAUAGAAGACUACCUCACAAACAUGGAAAAACUUCACAAACAUUUGAAAUAUUACAAGAAAAAUCCAAUAUUUGGAUUCAUGAAGAAGACAUUCAUUUUGACAUUCAUGUACAUGUUGUACUUGGAAAACUGAAGAAAUAAAAUUGUGAACAAAAAUACUUGAAAAUAAAGUUAGAAGUUUGAAAUUUA